UACGUAGGCAGCAAGCGUUGUUCGGAAUUACUGGGCGUAAAGGGCGCGUAGGCGGCCUGUUAAGUCGAACGUGAAAUCCCCGGGCUCAACCCGGGAACUGCGUCCGAUACUGGCAGGCUUGAAUCCGGGAGAGGGAUGCGGAAUUCCAGGUGUAGCGGUGAAAUGCGUAGAUAUCUGGAGGAACACCGGUGGCGAAGGCGGCAUCCUGGACCGGUAUUGACGCUGAGGCGCGAAAGCCAGGGGAGCAAACGGG
rnacentral:rRNA from 1 species